rnacentral:rRNA from 1 species
CAGCGCCACAAGUGGGGAUCGGUUUUAUUUGGCCUAAAGCGUCCGUAGCUGGUUUGGUAAAUCUCUUGUGAAAUCGUUAAGCUUAACUUAACGGCGUGCAGGAGAGACUGCUAGACUAGGGACCGGGAGGAGUCAGAGGUAUGCUGGGGGGAGCGGUAAAAUGCAAUAAUCCUCAGUAGACCACCUGUGGCGAAGGCGUCUGACUAGAACGGGUCCGACAGUGAGGGACGAAAGCCAGGGGAGCAAACCGGAUUAGAUACCCGAGUAGUCC